UAGUAACGGCGAGUGAAGAGGGAAAAGCUCAAAUUUUGAAUCUGGUGUCUUUGACUCCCGAGUUGUAAUCUAGAGAAGUGUUUUCCGCGUUGGACCGUGUACAAGUUCCCUGGAACGGGGCGUCAUAGAGGGUGAGAAUCCCGUAUAUGCCACGGACUACCAAUGCUCUGUGAUACACUCUCAACGAGUCGAGUUGUUUGGGAAUGCAGCUCAAAAUGGGUGGUAAAUUCCAUCUAAAGCUAAAUAUUGGCGAGAGACCGAUAGCGAACAAGUACCGUGAGGGAAAGAUGAAAAGCACUUUGGAAGGAGAGUGAAACAGUACGUGAAAUUGUUGAAAGGGAAGCGUUUGAAGUCAGUCACGUCUGUCGGAAUUCAGCCUGGCUUCUGCCUGGUGUACUUUCCGUCCGACGGGUCAGCAUCAAUUUCGACCGAGGGAAAAAGACGUGAGGAAUGUGGCUGUCUUCGGGCAGUGUUAUAGCCUCGGGUUGUAUGUCUCGGUUGGGAUUGAGGAACGCAGCGCGCCUAUUGGCCGGGGGUUCGCGCCCCUCGGUACGCGCUUAGGA
rnacentral:rRNA from 1 species